rnacentral:rRNA from 1 species
CCUACGGGAGGCAGCAGUAGGGAAUCUUGCGCAAUGGGCGAAAGCCUGACGCAGCCAUGCCGCGUGAAUGAUGAAGGUCUUAGGAUUGUAAAAUUCUUUCACCGGGGACGAUAAUGACGGUACCCGGAGAAGAAGCCCCGGCUAACUUCGUGCCAGCAGCCGCGGUAAUACGAAGGGGGCUAGCGUUGCUCGGAAUUACUGGGCGUAAAGGGAGCGUAGGCGGAUAGUUUAGUCAGAGGUGAAAGCCCAGGGCUCAACCUUGGAACUGCCUUUGAUACUGGCUAUCUUGAGUACGGGAGAGGUGUGUGGAACUCCGAGUGUAGAGGUGAAAUUCGUAGAUAUUCGGAAGAACACCAGUGGCGAAGGCGACACACUGGCCCGUUACUGACGCUGAGGCUCGAAAGCGUGGGGAGCAAACAGGAUUAGAUACCCUGGUAGUCCACGCCGUAAACGAUGAGUGCUAGUUGUCGGCAUGCAUGCAUGUCGGUGACGCAGCUAACGCAUUAAGCACUCCGCCUGGGGAGUACGGUCGCAAGAUUAAAACUUAAAUAGAUAGAGNGNGAGAGNGCGAGAGACACGAGGAGAG